UACAUGGGGUGCAAACGUUGCUCGGAAUUAUUGGGCGGAAAGCGCGCGUAGGCGGUUAGUUAAGUCGGAUGUGAAAGCCCUCGGCUUAACUGAGGAAGUGCACCCGAAACUGAGUAGCUAGAGUACGAAAGAGGGUCGCGGAAUUCCCGGUGUAGAGGUGAAAUUCGUAGAUAUCGGGAGGAACACCGGUGGCGAAGGCGGCGACCUGGGUCGAGACUGACGCUGAGGCGCGAAAGCGUGGGGAGCAAACAGG
rnacentral:rRNA from 1 species